rnacentral:lncRNA from 1 species
UCCAUUUUAAAAAUAAUAAUCAAAAUCAUCAUCAUCAACAAUGGCAACAAUAAAUCAUCAUCAAUGUCGACAUCAACAUCAUCAUCAGAUUAAAAUCAGUGGUGACGCAACAAUUGCUACUGCUGAAUCGUGCGGCAUAAAAAACGGCCCAAACGAAUGUGACAACUAGUUGUUACUCCGCGGCUGACGCUAGCAACAACGACAACGGUGCUUGAUUUUGGCAGCAACAGUGAGGCUUGUGUUGGCAACGAUGGAUUUGUUGUUUUUCUUUUUUGUUAUUUAUAUUUUUUAUUUAAAUGGAGGACAUUUUCAAAAUAUCAAAAUGUUAAUGGGACCAAAAUUAGUAAUCCCGAGGAAUGAAAGACUAAUUCCCACCCUCCUAACAAUCAGUCUUCCAUUCCCCAAAUCUAAUUUAAGGUGGUCCCAUCUAUUCGAUUCCGAUUCCCACUUUUAUUUUGUGAAGUAAACAUUAUCAAUUAUUCUGAUUCCGAGUUUUAAUUUCCUAAUUUAGGAAGCAAACACACUAUUAUUGCAAUGUGCUUGAAGAUAUCUCCUUUUUAACUUUUUAUCAUAAUGGCCACCACGACAACCCCUGUGGUUGCCUUUUUUGGAGUAGUAUUUUGAUGGAUUAGCUGCAAUGGAGCGUCUAUGGCUUGAAAUCUUUCAUUCAAUAACACCGAAAACUUUAUCAUCUAUCUACAAAAUUGGGGAAUAUUAAUAAUGAUGACAUUUAUGGUAGUAAUAAUAAUACAUAACAAUAAUUAAAAUAAUAAGUUUUAAUAAUAAUAACAAUAAUAUUAAUAUAAUAAUAAUGACAUUAAUAAAUAAUAAUAAUAAUAACAACAGUUAAAUUUUCUUUUCAAAAGUCAUUUUAUCUCAAAAAAGGACUUAUAUAUAAAAAUUUGUAACUUCGAGAGUCUAUUAUAUUUUUCAUAAAAGAUAGAGUGGUGUAGUAUAAUUAACUAAAAAAGACAAAACGCAAUGGUAUGUUGCAACCGUUACAACAUAAUUUCAUCCACAUAAUUGAUGGGUGGUGAAUUUGGAAAUGAAAAUAAAUGUUGGGCCAAAACACUAACCCAAUAACCCAAACUAAACCAAACCAAUUUUCCUUGGGUUGGGUUUGAUUAAUAAUUUUAGAGAAAUGCCACCCGUUUAAGGGCCAGUUUGGGAUUGCAGAGGCUGAUGAAAUAAGCUACUUGUACUGUGCAGAUAAAAUAAGCUGCUGAUUAAAAAAAUAGCUUAGCGUUUGGUAAACUGUGUUGUUACAGUUGCUGUGAGUUUGAAAAGUAG